AUUGAACGCUGGCGGCAUGCUUUACACAUGCAAGUCGAACGGCAGCACGGGCUUCGGCCUGGUGGCGAGUGGCGAACGGGUGAGUAAUAUAUCGGAACGUACCCAGAAGUGGGGGAUAACGUAGCGAAAGUUACGCUAAUACCGCAUACGAUCUAUGGAUGAAAGCAGGGGACCGCAAGGCCUUGUGCUCCUGGAGCGGCCGAUAUCUGAUUAGCUAGUUGGUGAGGUAAAGGCUCACCAAGGCGACGAUCAGUAGCUGGUCUGAGAGGACGACCAGCCACACUGGAACUGAGACACGGUCCAGACUCCUACGGGAGGCAGCAGUGGGGAAUUUUGGACAAUGGGCGCAAGCCUGAUCCAGCAAUGCCGCGUGAGUGAAGAAGGCCUUCGGGUUGUAAAGCUCUUUUGUCAGGGAAGAAACGGUAGAGGCUAAUAUCCUUUGCUAAUGACGGUACCUUAAGAAUAAGCACCGGCUAACUACGUG
rnacentral:rRNA from 1 species